rnacentral:rRNA from 1 species
AGAGUUUGAUCCUGGCUCAGGAUGAACGCUGGCGGCAUGCCUAAUACAUGCAAGUCGAACGAAGGUGCUUGCACCUUAGUGGCGAACGGGUGAGUAACACGUAUUUAAUCUACCUUAAAGUGGGGGAUAGCUUUUGGAAACGAAAGGUAAUACCGCAUGUGAACUCUGUUAUGACAUCAGAGAGGGUUGAAAGGUCCGUUUGGACCGCUUUAAGAUGAGAAUGCGGCGUAUUAGCUAGUAGGCGGGAUAAUAGCCCACCUAGGCAAUGAUACGUAGCCGAACUGAGAGGUUGAUCGGCCACAUUGGGACUGAGAUACGGCCCAGACUCCUACGGGAGGCAGCAGUAGGGAAUUUUUCACAAUGGACGAAAGUCUGAUGAAGCAAUGCCGCGUGAGUGAUGACGGUCUUAGGAUUGUAAAGCUCUGUUGUAAGGGAAGAAAGUUGGGAAAAGGAAAUGUUUUCCAAAUUGACGGUACCUUACUAGAAAGCCACGGCUAACUAUGUGCCAGCAGCCGCGGUAAUACAUAGGUGGCAAGCGUUAUCCGGAUUUAUUGGGCGUAUAGGGUGCGUAGGCGGUUUUGUAAGUUCAGGGUUAAAGACCAAGGCUCAACUUUGGUUCGCCUUGAAAACUACAUGACUAGAAUGCGAGAGAGGUAAACGGAACUCCAUGUGUAGCGGUGAAAUGCGUAGAUAUAUGGAAGAACACCUGCGGCGAAAGCGGUUUACUGGCUCGUUAUUGACGCUGAGUGCACGAAAGCGUGGGGAGCAAAUAGGAUUAGAUACCCUAGUAGUCCACGCCGUAAACGAUGAGUAUUAAGUGUCGGGGGUUUCUUCGGCGCUGCAGCUAACGCAUUAAAUACUCCGCCUGAGUAGUAUGCUCGCAAGAGUGAAACUUAAAGGAAUUGACGGGGACCCGCACAAGUGGUGGAGCAUGUGGUUUAAUUCGAAGCAACACGAAGAACCUUACCAAGGCUUGACAUCCAGUGCAAAGCUAUAGAGAUAUAGUGGAGGUUAACAUUGAGACAGGUGGUGCAUGGUUGUCGUCAGUUCGUGCCGUGAGGUGUUGGGUUAAGUCCCGCAACGAACGCAACCCUUGUCGCUAGUUGCUAACAUUAAGUUGAGGACUUUAGCGAAACUGCUAGUGUAAGCUAGAGGAAGGUGGGGAUGACGUCAAAUCAUCAUGCCCCUUAUGUCUUGGGCUACACACGUGCUACAAUGGCUGACACAAAGAGUCGCAAUCCAGUGAUGGGGAGCUAAUCUCAUAAAAUCAGUCUCAGUUCGGAUUGAAGGCUGCAACUCGCCUUCAUGAAGCCGGAAUCACUAGUAAUCGCGAAUCAGCUAUGUCGCGGUGAAUACGUUCUCGGGUCUUGUACACACCGCCCGUCACACCAUGAGAGUUGGCAAUACCAGAAGUAGGUAGCUUAACCGUAAAAAGAGAGCGCUUCCCAAGGUAGGGCUAGCGAUUGGGGUGAAGUCGUAACAAGGUAUCCGUACGGGAACGUGCGGAUG